rnacentral:rRNA from 1 species
GCUAUACAUGCAAGUAGAACGCUGAAGAGAGGAGCUUGCUCUUCUUGGAUGAGUUGCGAACGGGUGAGUAACGCGUAGGUAACCUGCCUUGUAGCGGGGGAUAACUAUUGGAAACGAUAGCUAAUACCGCAUAACAAUGGAUGACACAUGUCAUUUAUUUGAAAGGGGCAAUUGCUCCACUACAAGAUGGACCUGCGUUGUAUUAGCUAGUAGGUGAGGUAACGGCUCACCUAGGCGACGAUACAUAGCCGACCUGAGAGGGUGAUCGGCCACACUGGGACUGAGACACGGCCCAGACUCCUACGGGAGGCAGCAGUAGGGAAUCUUCGGCAAUGGGGGCAACCCUGACCGAGCAACGCCGCGUGAGUGAAGAAGGUUUUCGGAUCGUAAAGCUCUGUUGUAAGUCAAGAACGAGUGUGAGAGUGGAAAGUUCACACUGUGACGGUAGCUUACCAGAAAGGGACGGCUAACUACGUGCCAGCAGCCGCGGUAAUACGUAGGUCCCGAGCGUUGUCCGGAUUUAUUGGGCGUAAAGCGAGCGCAGGCGGUUUGAUAAGUCUGAAGUUAAAGGCUGUGGCUCAACCAUAGUUCGCUUUGGAAACUGUCAAACUUGAGUGCAGAAGGGGAGAGUGGAAUUCCAUGUGUAGCGGUGAAAUGCGUAGAUAUAUGGAGGAACACCGGUGGCGAAAGCGGCUCUCUGGUCUGUAACUGACGCUGAGGCUCGAAAGCGUGGGGAGCGAACAGGAUUAGAUACCCUGGUAGUCACGCCGUAAACGAUGAGUGCUAGGUGUUGGAUCCUUUCCGGGAUUCAGUGCCGCAGCUAACGCAUUAAGCACUCCGCCUGGGGAGUACGACCGCAAGGUUGAAACUCAAAGGAAUUGACGGGGGCCCGCACAAGCGGUGGAGCAUGUGGUUUAAUUCGAAGCAACGCGAAGAACCUUACCAGGUCUUGACAUCCCGAUGCUAUUUCUAGAGAUAGAAAGUUACUUCGGUACAUCGGUGACAGGUGGUGCAUGGUUGUCGUCAGCUCGUGUCGUGAGAUGUUGGGUUAAGUCCCGCAACGAGCGCAACCCCUAUUGUUAGUUGCCAUCAUUCAGUUGGGCACUCUAGCGAGACUGCCGGUAAUAAACCGGAGGAAGGUGGGGAUGACGUCAAAUCAUCAUGCCCCUUAUGACCUGGGCUACACACGUGCUACAAUGGUUGGUACAACGAGUUGCGAGUCGGUGACGGCAAGCUAAUCUCUUAAAGCCAAUCUCAGUUCGGAUUGUAGGCUGCAACUCGCCUACAUGAAGUCGGAAUCGCUAGUAAUCGCGGAUCAGCACGCCGCGGUGAAUACGUUCCCGGGCCUUGUACACACCGCCCGUCACACCACGAGAGUUUGUAACACCCGAAGUCGGUGAGGUAACCUUUUGGAGCCAGCCGCCUAAGG